CCUACGGGUGGCAGCAGUGGGGAAUAUUGGACAAUGGGGGGAACCCUGAUCCAGCCAUGCCGCGUGUGUGAAGAAGGCCCUCGGGUUGUAAAGCACUUUCAGUGAGGAAGAACGCCUGGUGGUUAAUACCCAUCAGGAAAGACAUCACUCACAGAAGAAGCACCGGCUAACUCCGUGCCAGCAGCCGCGGUAAUACGGAGGGUGCGAGCGUUAAUCGGAAUUACUGGGCGUAAAGCGCGCGUAGGUGGCUUGAUAAGCCGGUUGUGAAAGCCCCGGGCUCAACCUGGGAACGGCAUCCGGAACUGUCAAGCUAGAGUGCAGGAGAGGAAGGUAGAAUUUCCGGUGUAGCGGUGAAAUGCGUAGAGAUCGGGAGGAAUACCAGUGGCGAAGGCGGCCUUCUGGACUGACACUGACACUGAGGUGCGUAAGCGUGGGUAGCAAACAGGAUUAGAUACCCUGGUAGUC
rnacentral:rRNA from 1 species